rnacentral:rRNA from 1 species
UACGUAGGGUGCAAGCGUUGUCCGGAAUUAUUUGGGCGUAAAGAGCUCGUAGGCGGUCUGUCGCGUCGGCUGUGAAAACUCGGGGCUCAACCCCGAGCCUGCAGUCGAUACGGGCAGACUAGAGUGCUGUAGGGGGAGACUGGAAUUCCUGGUGGUAGCGGUGAAAUGCGCAGAUAUCAGGAGGAACACCGGUGGCGAAGGCGGGUCUCUGGGCAGGUAACUGACGCUGAGGAGCGAAAGCGUGGGGAGCGAACAGG